UACGUAGGGGGCAAGCGUUGUCCGGAUUUAUUGGGCGUAAAGGGCACGCAGGCGGUCUGCUGCGUUUGGAGUGACAGGUGGUGGCUCAACCACCACAGGCCUCUCAAAUACGGGCAGACUUGAGGACUCGAGAGGGAUGCGGAAUUCCAGGUGGAGCGGUGAAAUGCGUAGAGAUCUGGAAGAACACCAAUGGCGAAGGCAGCAUCCUGGAGAGUAACUGACGCUCAUGUGCGAAAGCCAGGGGAGCGAACGGG
rnacentral:rRNA from 1 species